rnacentral:tRNA from 1 species
GCCCUCGUAGCUCAUCUGGUAGAACGUCCGCUGUACAGACGUGCAGGCGGGGUCCAUGCGUGGGUUCGAAUCCCACCGAGGAUG